rnacentral:lncRNA from 1 species
GGAAGAUUGGCUCUGAGCUAACAUCUGUUGCCAAUCUUCCUCUUUUUGCUUGAGGAAGAUUGUUGCUGAGCUGACAUCUGUGCCAAUCUUCCUCUAGUAUUUUCUGUUUUUUAAUUUCACCAAAACUCUAGAAGGCUCCCGCUAUAUCUAAUGAAAAAUUCUUGACUUAUUUAACAUUGUAUUUGUUUAUUACUUUCGAUUCAGUUCCUUAUGAUUUCUUAUGAAUGUCAAAUGGGAGAAACAAUGUAAAACAAAUUUAAUAUCUCUGCAACUCAUAAAAUCUUAAAAUCUAAUUUUAAGUUUGUCACAAAAUUGAAAAACAACCCAAACUGUCCAAAUGCAACUUCUUAGAAAUGUUUCCAAAUUGAUUCCAAAUAUUCUUUUGUAGUUAUGGGUCCUAUUUCCCUCUAUAUAUUUGUAAACUUUCAUUUUUUUCCUGGAGUCUCAGAAAAGUGAGAGUUCAAACAAGUGCCGUAUGAUCAUUGAAACACUUGCUCACUCCGGUGGAUAAGAGCUUCCUGGUUACUUUAUACAUCUACUCAUUGCAUUUUAAAAUCUCUCUUAUGUACAUCCUCUCCAAGAGAUUAUCAGGCUUAUUCUUGAGUAAAAAAGGGGAAUUACUAACUUUCAAAGCAAUAUAUUGCAUAUUUGAGCAGCUAUGGCAGAGACUGUUUCCUCCCAGGACUUUUCUCCCUUUGGUCUUCGUUCUGGAGUUAUCUUGGAGUUAUCACCCUUCUGGAGUUGUCUUGAGCAUGUUUGGUUCUUCCAUCAAAUGUAAACCUUUCACUAUUUUAUGUCAGCCACUCUAGGCUCCCAGUCUUUUUUUCUUCCCUCCCAGGAACAUCUUUUCCCAUUUUCUUGGUCACUGCUUGCAUUGUAUGGCUGAUGGCUGCUCUUGGAACAUGUUCCAAUUUGUACCCUUCCUGGAGAGUGGUCCCCCAAAUUGGUCACAAACUCCACAUGUGCCCACAUAGAACUAUCAUCUUUCCUUUUUCUAAAAUGAUAAACUGUCAUCAGUAUAUCCCAAGAUUGCAUAUGAGGAAUUUUGGACGUCAUCCUUCACUGUUGACUCGUAGCAGGCUGUCUGUGGACUUCAGCCAUAAGUCCUGUUCUCAUCUCUCUGUGCUAAGCCCUUCACUACCCAGAACUCAAACUGUGUUUUGGGAUUCAGGGCAGGACCUUAAAUUUAUCUCCUUUAAAACUCAUUAUGUAUAUUCAUCCUGACUUGGAAAGAUGUUUUUAGUCUUUAUUGGGUCCAAAAUCAUAAUCAUUUAUGAAUUUAUAAUAAUUUCCAACUUUCUACAAAUUUAGCAUCCCUACCUCCCAUAUUUUUAUAUGAAUCAUUGAUAAAAUUAUUUGGUAUGAGAGAAUCAAGGCAACCUCUCUCUCGGUUGCCACUGACCCACAGAUCAAUACCCUUCGCAUGUAUUUCUUCAAAAAUUACAAAUGCAUCUAACUGAAUGAUCAUCCCACCCCCAUUUUUCCAUAUUAUCAACUAAGCUAUUUAGAGAGACUGUAAAAUGCAGACAUCACAUGUUCUGUAUCUACUACAUUUUCUUGGCCAGGCAGAGAAGGAAAAGUAGGUUAUUCCGAUGUGACCUCUUAAUGAACCCAUGCAAAAUCCUGGUAGAAACUGUUAACUGUCUGUGUCCUCACAAUAGUUCCCUAUUCUCAAGUUGUGGUGGCUUUGAUAUGUGGCUCACUGUCCUUUGGAGUGUGCUGUUUCCACCUCCUUCCCUGUUUUGGGACUAAGACAUUUGGUGGGUCUGCAUCCUCAGCUCCUCGCUAGUCUGCCCAUUUCUUCCCCAGCAUGCUGCACAUUCGCGUUUCUCUUAGCCAUGGGAGAUGAGACUCCUUCUGACGGAAUUAUAUGUUCUUGUUCAGCGAAUGAGACAGUCUAUUAAAUUUAUUCAAAUAUUGGAGGUUUUAAUCCCCUCCUGCUAGUGUUUGUAGCACAAAAUUUAUUCUGAGAACAUUCUCAACAUUGGAGCCAGAGAUCAAGGAAAGAGGGGUGGGCUUUUAUUGUCUCUCUGUGAUCUACCAACCCUAAAUUGUGGACUUCAAAAGUGAGCCUGUAGCUCUUCAAAAUUCACUGUUAGGAGAAUGGAAAGACGAGCUGGGGGAACAUAUUUUCAAAUUACAUGUCUGAUAAAGGACUUAUAUCCAGAACAUGAAAAAACACUGAAAAGGCAAUAAUAAGAAAAUAAACAACCCAAUAAAAAAUGGGCAAAAGAUCUGACCAGACACUUCACUGAAUAAACACGUGGCUGGCAAAUAAGCAUAUGAAAUGCUGCUCAACAUCAUUAGUCAUCAGGGAAGAGCAAAUUAAAACCAUGUGAGAUAUCGCUGCACCCCUAUUAGAAAUACUUAAAGAAAAAACUGAUCAUACCAAGUCUGGACAAGGACAUAGAGAAACUUGACCUCUAGUACAUGCUGGUGGAAUUGCCAAAUGGUUCAGCCGCUUUGGAAAACAUUUCGGCAGGUUCUUAUAAAGUUAAACAUACAACCCAGCAAUUUCACUCCUAAGUACUUACUCUAGAGAAGUGAAAACUUACAUCCACCCAAAAACCUAUACGGGGAUGUUUCUAGUGGCUUUAUUUAUAAUUGCAAACAACUGAAAACAACCCAAAUGGCUCUCAACUGUGGUAUAACCAUACAAUGGAAUACUACCCAGCAAUACAAAGCACAGAUUAUCGAUACAUGCAACACCAUGGAUGAAUCUCACAUGUAUUUUGCUAGUAAAAGAAACCAGGCUCAAAAGGCUGACUACUGUAUAAUUCCAUGUGUGUGACAUUCCUUAAAAGGCAAAACCAUAAGGACAGGACAGACGGGUGGUUGCCAGCGGCUGGGCAAGCAGGAGGGAUUGACUACAAAGAAGCAUGGCAGAUCUUUUGGAUGAUGGAAGUGUUCUGUAACUUGAUUGUGCUGGUAGCUACAGAUGAUCAUAUGUCUUUGUCAACUCAACAGAACUGUCCAUUGCAAAAAGUGAAUUUUCUGGAUGUAAAUUAAACCUUAAUUUUAAAAAGUGGGUAUAUAAUUUCUUUGUUCUUAUUAUCCCAAUACAUUUUACUUUUGAAAAAUGAAGUCAUUUUAAUUUUCCUAACAUAUAGUGAGCCUCAACCAAAAAUAUCAUUAAUAAUAGCUGGACAAAACUUCCAGACACACCAUCUGAGCGCUCUUUCCAAGCUGUUCCCUCAAGGACUUCUCUCUCCUCAGAGAGUUUUCCAGUGUAGAUUUGCUUGUAGCCCUGAGGAUUCUAGUCACCUGUUAAGACUGUCUCGGCAUCUUAUUCUUUUUCCUAUAGGUUCACACAACACAAACUCAAUAGCUACUCAAUCACUUUCUGUGAUUUUUUUUUCAAAUGUCCUUGAACCCUAGGCCCAGUUUAACAUUUGAGAAGGGCUCAGCAAUGAUGAAAUACACACAAAUUAAAUAUGUCUGGUAUGACCACAUUUUCCUGGUCUUUUAUGGAAUCAUGAGGUUUCAAAAACCAUCAGUCUAGAUCAGAUUUUUUGUUGAUGUUCGUCCAUGAAUAUGGAAUGUGAGGUGGAAUCAAAGAAUCACAGAAUGUUCGAACUGGAAGACUCUUAGAAUUCAUCUAGUCCAGUUCUUUAUUUUACAGGAUCCAAAGCUUCAUUGCCUGUUGGCCAUUAUCUGGUAACUUCAGGCGCUCUCUGAUCUUACAUUCCUUGGGUUCCAUCCAGACCCAGGUCUGAGAUAUGCUGGGCUCCUUGAGAAAUGCAUUCCACUUGGAUAAAGCAAAACAAAAGCCCAGCCACCUAUUCUGCUAGCAGACAGGAGUAUAAAUACACAGUUCUGAGGGUGCAUCAGCCAUCAGCUAUGCUGUGGUUCGUUAAAAUGUGGAUUAUUUAGGUAGCCCUUGGGUUUUCCCCUAAAGUCGUGCAUUUGGGUUCCUUCAAGGUUUCUGUGCUCCAGUAGAGAAGACUCUUGAUUUAUUUUAUCUUUUUAUCUAUUGAAAUGUAACUGCAGUUCAGGCUGAAUAUCCUGGAUGUAGGGAAGUCUGGAUUGUUUUAAAUACCUAUCUUCAAGCCUCCUUUCUCUUAUUUGUCUUUAGAACAUUUCUGUGAAGGGAGUCCAAGGCUCUCUCAGAAAAAGAAAGCGUGCACUUAGGUUUUCUACUGCUGUUGGCUUCUCAAGAAUAAAGUUUGUGGCAAAACUAAAGAGCUGCCAAGGUCUGCAGGUUUCACCACCAAGGACCAGUGGCUGAUAUUUGAGAAGGUGGGCUCUGCUGGGGGCAAACAAGCCAUUCAGCUCAGUUGUUUAUUUCAGUUCCUCUCAAGAGUUUCCUGGAGGAGCUCCUGGUCCUCAGUGUGUUUGCCCUUUUGAUUAAUUCUUUGCAAUGAUGUCUUCCAAAUGCGAAUUGUCACCUUUAACUUUCACCUCUCUCUUAGCCAAAUGCAGGAGGUUAGUCUGUCGAUCCUGCCCUUCCUCUGCCUCCUGGGGACCAGCUCAAUCCCUACCCCUGCGGCAUGAAUUUCUCCUGGGAUUGAAUUGGCUGAAGCUCUGGUGUAGGGGACCUCUUCCAGCUGCUGAGAAAAAGAAAACAUGCAUUUUUGUGUCACUCGUUCUAAAAUCUCGCCAUUCUUGUCUCCAGGGUUCAUGGAAGAGCUUAAGAGUUAAAGUCAUUUAGGGUCACUGUUUUCUUUCUCUUAUUUUGAGAGCGUGGAUGACUUCUUGUUUGACUGGGAUGGUUCUCCUCAGAGCACUGGGCUGUGGGCAGGGCUCCCACAGGGGAGGGAGGCGGGUCCUCUGGGUGCUCCCAUCAGCAGUCUUGGAGGCUGGCGGCCGCCUCUCUUCCCAGCUCCCUCAGCUUCUUCCUUGACACACUUCUCUAACUCCCCCUCUGCUGCUCUGCUUGGUCAGACCCCCCGGGAACGUGAAAGUCCUGCAGGCAGCCCUUGCCUGAAGUCCCUGCCAUUCUCUGUCACCCAAGUCUUGUAAAGGCCAUGUCUCACUUCCCGUGAUCAUAUUCCCUAGAUGCGGGCUCACCUGCUCAGUUCUUUCAAGGGAGCUUUGUGAGCUGAAAGGUAGAUGUGAGGGAAGGAGCGCAUGCAGGUUUCGACAGCAGCCAUCUAGAGACGGUGCCACUGCUGCUGCUCUCUGACCUGAGGGAGACUCUGCGAGCAGAGAAGGGAGGGCUGGGAGGGGGACCCCUUGGGGGGAGUCUGCCUUGCCCAGCCUGGCUCUGGGCCUGCCUGCAGCCUUGUUCCAGAGCAGUGAAACUUAGCCUGUGCUCCUAGGCUGCAUGGGGCCUUCUGCGUUCAUUCAGGCCUCCAACGUCCGCCUCAACAUCCGGUCACCCUGGGCCCCCCAGGGCAUCGCAGUUCUGGGGCUCUUCUGGUUCACAUUGCUGUGAAUGAGCCUCCCAGGUGACAGAACGGGGCAAACUCCCAUUAAGAGAACAAGCUUUUGCAAUAUUUAUCCAAUUCCCAAAGCCACUUGGACUAUAUGUUGACCUAGCCUUAGGAAAAAGAAAAAGCAGAGCAAGAAGUUGUUUAUUAAGCGUUAAAAUUAAGAAGUUUAAAAGUAGCUGUUUAUUAGCAUGUUUGUCUUUCUUUCCACCUCUCCACUGGAGAAAGGAGCAACAUUGAUACUGCUGCAGCUCUUGCCUGGAUGCAAGGAGCUCCGUCUAAUGAAAAUCCCAUGCUCCAGGCCGAGCUGGAGGGAGCAUUUUGAGUGGCUCAGACCCAGGCCUUCGAGGCAGGGGACGGACACCGCGGUACUUGGUUUGCGGCGGAGGAUCUGGAAAAAGCAUUGGUUACAUAUUUGUAACCGUUGGCUAAUGAGUCCCAGUCGGCAGAGGCUGAGCUGAACACCACACAGGCAGCAGACCAGCAGCUCGCUCCUCCUGGAUGCAGAGCUGUCAGCUGAACCAGGCCUGCUCUUUUCGAGGAGCCUGGCAGCUAGUUUCCCCCUUAAUUAGUUGUAACACCGUUAACGCAAAACAAAGGAUUUUGUAUUUUCUUAAACAAAAUGGUGCCAGAAUCCUAGAAUUUAUUUUCUAAGUGUAUUAUUAAGCAUAUUUCUUUUAAACAAGCUCAAAGGUCAGAACGUUCAGAGGUUUUCUGCCGGAGACUGUUACCCAGCUCUCAGGGUUUCUUGAAAGACAGCGUGCUGACAGAAGGAUAUGCUCCAUCUCCCUCAGGGCCCGCCCGAUGUUAUCGUAACUACCAAUUAUUACGUAUUUUGAAGUUUGCAAAGAGUUUGGAUAUGUGGCAUCUUAAGUGGAGGUCCUUAUUAGGAUUAGAGGGAGAAAGACAGACUCACGAGGGGAAAUUUCAACAUAUUACUGCUUGGAAGGGCUUGGAGUCUUGUCUCGCAGUUUCUACAUUGUGUCCAGCAGAAUACUAGUUCUGAGAAACGAUAUUUGAAGAUAGAGUUCCAAGAUCAAAGAAGUCUGGGAGGCAUGGAGCUCUUUUUCUCCUUCUGGAGAUUCGGGGUGUGUUAACGGAGUCCCUGAGGAGUCCUAAAGUGAAAAAGAAUCAACUUCGUUUUAAUGCAGGGAUUCCAACUUUGAUUAUGCAAUAUCUCAAUAUCUCUUACCUCUUUUUUUUUUAUUUAACACUUGUGGAAACCAAAGCCUUAGAGUUAAUGACCAGUUGGUGGCGAACCCUGACUCCGAUCCUCAGGCUCCAGCUCGUCACGUAACUUGCUAAGGUUGUCACUCACUCCCUCGGUGACUCACACGGAGGACUUGUGAGCUGUGACCGGGCCAUGUGUCUGUGGUCUGUGCUCUCUAAGAUUUUGGUUUGCCAAGUCAUUCUGAAUCUAAUGAUGCUCGGGUGAUUUCCCAGACUGAGGAGGAGGCAACAGCAGCUUGUGCGUCGUGCUCAUUGAAUGAACUGUUGACAGUUGUGGUGUGUUUGAGUUUCUGCAUCUGAGAGGGGUUUGGUCCUGAGGCCCACAGGUGAAUGCAGGGAAAGACCACCUGGCUGCCAUCACGGCCAGCCCAAGGCCAGUCAGUGGAGAGGGGACACGUGCCUUCAGAAAAGCUCUGUGCUCAGGCCGACCCACUGGCACAGCAGUUCAGUGCACAUAUUCUGCUUUGGCAGCCCGGGGUUUGCUGGUUCGGAUCCUGGGUGCAGACCUACCCACUACUUGUUAGGCCGUGCUGUAGCAGGCAUCCCACAUAUAAAGUAGAGGAAGGUGGGCACAGCUGUUAGCUCAGGGCCAGUCUUCCUCAGCAAAAAGAGGAGGAUUGGCAGCAGAUGUUAGCUCAGGGCUACUCUUCCUCAAAAAAAAAAAAAGAAAAGAAAACAUCUGUGCUUUUCUUUUAUUUUAUGUUUUAAUCCAUUCACUUCCCCAGUGCCUUUUAGAAAACAUCCUACUCUAGAAGCUUUUAUUCAUACUAAAGUGUAAAUGAUUGAUAACUACAAUUAAAGUGUUACCUUUCCCACAAGCAUUUACAUUUUAACCUGAACCCUGUGCAAAAGAAAAAUGUGUCUUGAGGCAAGUGAGUGGGUGAGGGAGAAUUUAUAGCAGGGUACAUGGAAUCCGAAAACCAUAUCAGAUAGAUAAAUAUCUAUUCUGUGCUUGAAUAAGGACAGCCUGGACUCCAAAAAUAUACAUUUCUAGCCCAACCCAAUAUAAUACACAUGCCUUGACAUUUUAUUUUAAGAUUUUUGAUAAAGCACCUCUUUCAAAGCAUGGGUUAGCCUUGGUGAGUCCUUAGGGAGCCCUGUGACCUGAUUCUUCACAUGUGACCCCUGCCUUCUCCUCUAGGGCAUGGCAGGGCACGCUUGGUCCUACACAGUGUAAAUGGACAAAUAGAUGGAAGUUAUUAUUCUAGCCUUAUCUCCUGUCCCUGCAUUUUUAAAAAUAGUUUGUGAUGCAGCAGUGUGCGAUGACUUGUCCAAAGUCCCAAAGUCGCACGGCUCGUCAGAGACAGCCAGGGUUAAUUUAGUCCUGACCUUCCCAAGCCCUGGGAUUGGCUCAGUAGAGUUUUCUAGUUUAAGCCACCUUUAAACAUCCAUAGAGUAAGGCCUCAUUUGGGGUCUUGGUCCUCCUUAUAAUGCUUUUGACACUUACACCGUGACAUGCUUUUUGCCUCAUUUCCAUAGUUUUGGCAGGGGGCGUGGACUCUUAUUCUUAAUACUCUGUUUUUCAGUCUGUGGUCCGUAGAGCUAAACCCGUAGUGGACUGUGUCGUUGCCCAACCCAGAGCCUCUGGAAUCCCUUUCACUGUGUGCGUCUGUGAGCUCCCUAUUCUGUAUGUUGGGCUUUCCUCUAACAUCCUCACUUGGACUCUCCUCUGGACCCCGUGUGUGCAGACAGCCGGCGUGCCCGGGAUGUAGUCCCCUGUCCCCUCCAUUCCCCGAGCUCUUGGCCGGUGAGUGUGUGCAGGGAUACGAAAGCCCAGCCCGGGCCGGCCGCGCUGGGACCAACUCUGAAGUGUGCCUCCUGUUCCGGAGCUCCUUGGGGCCAGGCUGAAGCCCGCCCACCUGAAACCCCGCCUGGGCAUGGCUGCUUCGUCUUCCCUGUCCAGCUUCCCGGCCUGCGAGCGAAUCCUGUCUCAGGCUCUGCUUCUAGAACCUCAGGCUUCAGAUGCCCAGCCCUGCUUUUGCUGACGUGCUGUCAGUAAAGAAGAACCUUAUUUGAGAACAAGCCGUCUUCUGUUUCACAUGUGCAUUUUCUCAUUCUAGAAACCGUGCGGAGUGGAAUGACUUGCUGUUUCCAUGAGAUCACAUAUGUAAAAGCUCUUUGUAUGCUGUAGGAGCCAUAGAAAUGUGGGUUGUUAUUACCCAAAUUUGGUUCCCUUUGCUGUAAUUUUGAGUGAGGGAAGAGAAAUCUGACCUGCAAAGUACACGCCACUGUUUUCCUUUCUCAGCUUUCCCGUGCCUAGGGAGGGCCUGUUUCUGCUUCUAACACUUGAUUGCUCUGAUGACCCCCUUGUAGCUGACCGUGUCUGGCCAAGGAGUGGUGUCCUCUGAGGAAGGGAAACAGGCCUGGGAAGUUUGGGGCUCCCAAGCUUAGGUGUAGAGUGUAUCCUAUGAAGGUUGUAGAUUAUAGUUUUUUCAUAAUAUUUAAUUUGCCUUUAUUCUUUAAUUUAUGAUAGAUUUUAACACAUGAAAGUAUAUACUUCAUUAUAAUUGUCAAUUGCUUUUCUUAUCUUUUUCCUCUUGUGUUCAGGAGAGAGGAGCAUUUAGCCCUUGAUUUGAAAAUGACAAAUGGACAAGGAAAAGCAAGCUUGCUGCAAACAAGGAUGUUCCUCCGUUCCAUGUAUCGACACAAAACUACCCAGUGAUUCUUCACAGUGCCCUCAUUUAAUGACUGCAAUAGCAAAUCCUUUUCUGUUACAAAGUCCAAAAGAAAUUCAGAAGUUGGUUUUUCCCUAGAUUCUCCGUGGUUUCUGCAGCACCACGGGGCCUUCUGUUGCUGCAUUUGUGGUGGUUUCAUCAGACUGAGAUGGUGGCCCGAGGGGUGGCGGGAAGUUCUCCGCCUGCAGGCACUGCCGGGCCGCACCUGUCCUCUGUGCCCGCAGCUCACUGCGUUUUUUGGCAUAAUCAACUGCUCUUUAGUGGCCCUUGGAGGAGUGGAUGCUGAAACCCCCAACCAGUCAUUUUGCUUCUGGAUGAUGUUGAUUCUGUAACUUGCAACCAGUGCCAGAGCUCAGGGGAGGGCCUUCCUUCCCCAGCCCACCACUCCACUAUUCCAGGGCCAUAGCCUCGAGCUCCAGAUUGCAAAGAUGCUCAUGAGAGAGUUUUAAGGUAACCACUUCUUUUCACAGAUGGUCCACAUCAGAUGUAGCUCAGGUUUACAGUUGAUUGAGAGAGAUUUGCAGAUAAGAGCAAAGCCAGGAACUGCAACCAGAUGCCAUUGCCCUAGAGGUCCCAGGUACAGCCCCAGGGUGACUGGCCACAUGGCCUUGGCUGAGGGUCCUAGACCGGAGUGAUGCUUAGCACCCGAGAGCCUCCCAGCCCAGUGCAUUGAUGUCUCUAAUUCUUCCUCAGUGUUUAUUCAGUUGUAAACUCUGUACUCUUAUUUGAGCAACCGUUAUACUUGUUCUCAGGAAACCAAAAACCAAAAGGGGAAGGUCCUGGUACUAAUAAAAAAAAAUCACUGUUGAAAUGUAUAAUUGUUAUUUUGGCAAAACUAUGAAGAAUAAAAUGAUUCUGUUUGUGACAACCUAGUUCAUCUAUUCUCUCAUUUUGAGUUUAUAAUUCUGGCUUGAAGUCCCAGAUCACUGUUCCCUGCCAAAAUGUACAGUCUCUGUGCCUGAAUAGCUCAGAAUAGAUUGUUCAGUAUAAAGGAGAAUUCCCUUGUUCCAUCCAAAGGAUUAUAAGGCCGUGGUGUGCAUCUUGCUGCUGAGCUUGAGAUCCUGAAAAGUCGGUUUUGGUUUGCUGUGACUUAUCUGAGGUUUUCCCUGCCUCCAAGCUCCACCCUUACUUGUGCACGUCCUCAGAAGGGACUGUUUUAGGAGACUGCACAUGCCGUGAACACAGCAUGGGAUGGGCUUGUCUCGCAGCCCCUGGGCAUCCUGACAUCCGCAGAGAAGACUGUUCUGGAAUUGCUUGAGUAGAUUUAUUGAAUUAGGUUCUGAUUUCUUGAUGAAGGACCUCAUCUGUAUUGUAUUUGCCAUAAGCAAUGCAACUGAUACCCUUUGGACACACCCACAGACUCGAGGCUGUGUGAUAGUGGCUUUUAGGGGAGUCAGGAUUGAAAUAUCACAUUUGUCCCUGAGGCAUACCUGAUCCCAAGCUCUUGGCGCAGAGUUCGAUUAAUCUACUCAAGAUAGAGGUGGUGGCCAGGGCCCUGCAGUCACUUGUGGACCACUGUGGGCAACCUGAAGCCAUAAGCCAAGAUGCAGCCAUUUGUCUUUGUUUAUAAUUUCUCAUCUGAGCUUAUAGAAACUCAUAGCGUGCCUCGUCCAGUGGUCCAAAGCCACUUAUGCAUGCCUCGGCCCUUCAUCUUCAGCCUAAUGGCAGCAGAAUGCUGCUUGAAAGAAGAGUCCUAAAAUAGAAUGUGUUUCUGCUCCCACAUGUAGGUCUAGAUUUGGGACACUCUGCUGUAUAGGAUGGGCUUCAGAGGGGCCUGCCCUCUUCUGACUCCGUCUCCUCCUUCUCUGUAGGAUUAUGCAUGUCCAGGGAAGAAAGCCAGCUCUCAGUAAGCCUUUCUUCAUGCUCAUAGCCACCCCUGGGUCUUCAGCAGCACAGCCUCCUGCUCUCUCUGCUUAGGGAAGUGCAGAGGGAGGCAGAGAGGAAAGGAAACAGGAUAGGAGAGGCUACAGGACCACACUGCCAGGGCAUCAAGUCAAAACAAAGAAGGCGAAACACAAAGGGACGAAGCAGACCAGACACUGAUUCUUGAAGCUUCCUCUUGGAGGUGACACACAUCACGUCUGCAUUUCGCAUG